rnacentral:rRNA from 1 species
GCUUACGGCCACACCACCCUGAACACGCCCGAUCUCGUCCGAUCUCGGAAGCUAAGCAGGGCCGGCCUGGUUAGUACUUGGAUGGGAGACCGCCUGGGAAAACCAGGUGCUGUAAGUU